rnacentral:lncRNA from 1 species
UUUGAGUACCUAAAUAUAUCAGGAAUUUGCUGAAAAUCAUCAAAUGUCACAAACUAAUUCUUCAGCCCCUGCCCCGUGGGUCUUGCCUCCCUAAUUUACUUAUAAAGAAAUAUAGAGACAUAGCAAGGUAGGUUAAGAGAUGGAUUCAUUUUAUUGGGCCUAAUUCAAACACACACGGAGAAUUGGUUUGAAGGUUCUAGAUUUUUUUUUUUUUUUUUUUUUUUUUCGGCCAUCCCGCAGGCAUAUGGAGUUCCCUGGCCGGGGAUCAGAUCCAGGCCAUUGUUUCAACCUACACUGCAGCUGCAGGAACACCCGAUCCUUUAACCCACUGCAGCAGGCUGGGAUCGAAUCUGCAUCCUGGCACUGUAGAAACGCUGCCAAUCCCUGUUGUGCCACUGAGGCAUUCUUGUGAACAUUCCAGAUUUUAAGAGGGUUUAUUUAGCUAUACUAAAAACUUCAUUUAACAGAGUGCUAUGUAUUUUUUCUCCUGCUGCACACAUUUCUGUAAGCCUUCUCAAAUUCUUUGGAACUAGGUAAAGUACAAAAAAAAUUUGUAUAUUGGGUUGUGAGGCAGGAAGGAAAUCUGGGGGAUUUAGAAAUGAUAAAUUCAGAGAUUUAAGCAUUAGUCAGCUUGGGGCAAAGGUGACACAGCACCUGCAAGAAAGGAGGGGAUUCCUGGCACACAUGUCCUCCAGGUUGGAUUAUGAGGUGUUUUAAAUAUAUCUAUUUCCCUCCCCUGUAUUAGCAUCCAAAUAUUAGCUUCCCUUCCUGCAUUAAUUGACACAGUUUCUUAAGGUAAGAGCAUUAUUCUAAGAUUUCUGGAGUAUGCAUUUUCCAACAAAAAGUAUCAGCCGUUUAUGGACAUUCUGGAAUCUAACCUAUUGGCAUUAGGAAGCUAUUCUGGAUUUUUCUGAGUGGGCAGUGACAUAUGCAAUAUGCUUUAGUAAGACUGGGUGAUGAAUAAAAUAAACUAAUGUUUACAUGGUGAUUGCUCCGAACUAAGCACAGUAAAUAUUUUACAUUGUUCAUAUCACUGAAUUUUCAAAACAGCGUAUGUAAAGCAGAUAAUUUUCAAAAUAUUUUUACUGAAGUAUAAUUGAUUUACAAUGUUGUACCAAUUUCUGCUGCACAGCAAAGUAACCCAGUCAUACAUAUAUAUAUACAUUCUUUUUAUCAUAUUACCUUCCAUCAUGUUUUAUCCCAAGAGAUUGGAUAUGCAGAUACUUUUAUAGUAUCCAUUUUCCAGAUGAAAUAAAAAAGCUAUUUGUGUUGAAAUAACUUGUCCAAGUUGAGAUAACUAUGAAAAGGUGUAGGUGAAUGAAAACUAUGCAAGCAGUGCUAAAAACUAUGCAAACAGUGCUAAAUGUUGUCUGAGCACGUACUAUACUAUCAAGACUAGAUUGGCUAGAAAAAGAAACUGAAAACAGGAAAAUGAGAUCACUGACUAUUGCAAUGGUCCAGGCACAAGAGAAUGAGACAAAGCAAAGGGAUUAGAUGGUAAGGAAGAUGUUACUAAGGGAGAAACAGAAGGACUGUGAUUGUUCCUUGGAUUUGACAGAUUGUACAGAGGGCACUCGAUAUGAUUAGUUUGAUUAACAGGAAUUAAUAAACACUGAUAAACUGGCAAAUUGAUUAACAGGAAUUAAUAAACACUGAUAAACCGGCAAAUAUUGAUAAAAGAGUAGUGGUUUUGUUGGAUGGGGGAGGACUCCCUUUUGGAUCUUUUGAAUUUAAAUAAUAUCUAGAAUAAACCAAAAAAGUUGACAUUGAUACUGUUUCUAAAGCAAAACAAAAUACCCAAAUGACUGUUUGCUGGACUUCUCUCUACAAUGGUCUACUUCACUGAGGAAAUCCCAUUGGGAGAAUGUAUAGGAUGUCCAAUAAGAACCACAUAAAAUAGUAUAAUUUUGUUGUAGAAAUAAAAGGUUCUCUUAGAACUUAUUCAAGAUCACACAACUUGGAUUUUCCUUGCAGCACAGCAGGUUAAAGAUUCUGUAUUGACACUUCAGUGGCUCGGGUCACUGCUGUAGUGUUGGUUCGAUCCCUGGCAUGAGAAAUUUUACCUGCCACAGGCUCAGCCAAAAAAGAAUCACCCAACUUCUAAAUAACUAAAACUUUUUGCGUUUCCUUGGUGACCAAUAAUUCUAAGGCAGGAGUUCCUGCUGUGGCACAAUGGAGUUGGCAGUGUCUCUGCAGCACCAGAAUGCAGGUUUGAUCCCCAGCCCGGCACAGUGGGUUCAAGGAUCCAGUAUUGCCACAGCUGUGCCAUAGGUUGCAACUGUGGUUCAGAUCUGAUCCUUGGCCCCAGAACUUCAUAUGCCAUGGGGAGGCCAAAAGAGAAAAAAAAUAAUAGUUUUAAGUCAGGAUACUUAUCAUCAGUGAUGAUUUUCAGUCCCUUAGGCAAGGAGAGCUCAAUGUGUGAAAAGGAUGAGAGGUGGAAUGAACAAAUGACAGGCUGAUGAAUGAACAAAUGAAUGAAUGAAUUAUUGGUAUAUAAAUUACAAGAAGAAAGUCUCUCCACCUGGAAUUUACUUUUCCUGCUUUUCUACUAAGGUAGGUUGUUUUGUUUUAAAAAUUACUCCAAUUUAACCUUGGUUUCUUAAAAAGUUUUUCUAAAUGGAAAAUGAUUUGUCUCUAAUACUUUUGUUGUUUAGCAAUUCUUUAUACACAUGAGUGUAAUCUCAAGAUAUUUCUACCUAGAGCUUAUAUCAAUGUUGGGCUUGGUCUCCUUUAGGAACUACUGUUGUGCCAAAGGAUUGGGCAGCAAUUUCCGUCUUCACUUUGCUUGCAAAUUCAUGCUAGGCCAUGUUUCAUGAUUCACUGGGCAAAUGUAUCGUGGAUACUGCCUCUGAGUUUGUAUGCAGGUGUGCUUAUCUUUUACCUUUUAAAGCACUAGUUGUGGGAACAGAGAUUUCUUUCUGCUAAUUGAAUCUUGACCAGUGAACUCCUCCUUGUUUAGAGGUAUUUUAAUCCUUUCCAAAUAAAUAUUAAUUUAUCUAAUUGACUGACUGGAGUUAUAAUUCAACUGCAGAAGGAGAGCAGCUUGUACUCUUCCUUAUGACAGAUUCAUGCCCACUAGAGUACAUCAUCUUCAACACAAGAUGACCAACCCAUGAGGUGACUCUGAGGAUUAGUGAGACUUGGUAAUGUUUAUACAACUUUUAAAAUCUCUUAUCGGAAAAGUGCUUUGGCAACCAUGAAAAGUUGAUCUUAAUCUGUCUAUGCUCAGAGUAAGAAUCGUCUUUCAUAAAUCCAACUUAUUUUCCAAAGGUAGUGCUGUUUUCUAAAAAGGUCAACCUGUGUUUGAGAUCAGUUUAAAUUAUGGCUGAUGUGAACUCAGUUAUUCCCCAGAAAAACUAGUUAUUCCCUGGUUUUAGCAUCCCUCAGAAUCACUGAGGAACCAGUCCAGGGCCCCAGAACUUCGGAUUAAGCAGGUCUGGGAGGAGGCCUAAGUUUGUACAGUUCUAGAAAGAUCCAAAGUGACGUGAGUUGUCCUGGUAUCACUCUUUGAGAACCACUGCCCUGGGAAUGUGCACUGUCACCAGGGUGACUGGGAGCAAAAACAUCCAAGGGAAGUUGUGUAAACUCCUCCAGAGAGGUUCAGUGUGGUCUUUUGAAAUUAGAUAUGAUUUGUGAUUGUUUUCUUACAGUUUGUGUAUUAUAUAUUACUUGUUUUGGAAGGGAGCGCUAAAGGAAAAAAAAAAUGGCUUCUAGUGUUUGUGUCUAGACCUAGUGUUAUUUGACUAAACUAUUAAUGCCUGCUUCAAAAUCCAGUACCUCUAAUCACAACCUCUUCCUGCCUCCCAAACAAAACAAGGCUAAAAUCUAAACCGAAUGUUGUCCCUUACCAGCGCAUAAAAAGUUAACAGUGCCAAACAGAAUCGCUCAGGUCAGUGGAGGGUAAAGCCAGCAUUUGGAAAUGCUGUGAGAGCACAAAUAGUUUAAACUGUAGACAAGUCCGGAGGAAAUUACAGCGGGAAAACUUUCCAUCCUGGGUUCCAGUUGCCAAGGAGUUUGUGUAGGUUGCCGGAGACCUCACCCCUUGGUGGCUCCUCUGUGACUCACUGUGUCCCUGGGAAUCCUCAGAUCCAGCAACAAGAGAGAAUGCAGAAACUCUGCCUUUGAUCUCCUGGGAUGAAAAUCCCCAGAACUUGGUUUCUACGACAGGGAGUUUUCCAACUAAAUAGAUGGUAACAGAGCUGAUAACUCUGAUUCUUAGAUAUCAGUCUGGUUCUGGCCCAGGUGCAAAGGUUGAGAUUAGAUAAAGCUGUGUACUGGGUCUCAAUGCAGCAGCAGGAGAGUGGGAGGGCAGGGUUAGAACCCCCUUGGACCCAGUUUGGAUGGCUCGUUAGAUUUGAGACAUCACAGUUGCUCUUGCUCUGCUCUUGGAACCCAGCUCUCAGACUCCCUUAAUUUGGAGUUUGAUGGACUCCUAUAGAUGGAAACGCCUAUCCAUGAAAUAGCUUUUCUUUCUGGAUACAUCUUAUUCUUUACCAUUACCCUUGCAAGUUCAAAUCCAGUCCUAACCAGAAGCAAAUGUGAUCAUUUUCCUUUCCCUAAUAAUGAGGAAGAGUGUAACCUGAUGCUGCAGUCCUUAAUCAAAUUUUGGGGGGGUUAGAUUUAAUGUGUGUUUAAAUUACCUGGAGAUCUUGUAAAAAAAGCAGAAUGUGAUUUGGUAGAUUCAGUCGAUCUGGAUGGAGCCCGAGAGAUUCUGCCUUUCUAACAAACUCUAAGUGCUGAUGCUGUUGUUCUAAGACCAGGCUUUGAACAGCAAGGGGAUUAGUUUUCGACUUGAGCUUCUCAAUAAGAUCACCUUGAGAGGCCAUUUGUUCACUCUUUUUAAAAGCCCAACACUGAAGUUCCCGUCAUGGAUCAGCGGAAAUGAAUCCAACUAGUAUCCUUGAGGACACAGGUUCGAUCCCUGGCCUUGCUCAGUGGUUAAGGAUCUGGCUUUGCCAUGAGCUGUGGUGUAGGUCAUAGACAUGGCUUAGAUCCCACGUUGCUGGGGCUGUGGUGUAGGCCAGCGGUUACAGCUCCAAUUUGACCCCUAGCUUGGGAACCUCCAUAUGCC